UCUUAUCAUCGAGAUCUACCUUGUACAACCCAAGCUCAACAACCUCGAAUCUCAGGCCGACGAUGCUCUUCUCAAAUCCCCCCACCAUUUCCACUGCUCUCUUCUUCUCCUCUUCGCUAAGAUCGCCAUACAGAAGACUCAGAUGCGGCAUGUAUUCUGUUCGUUAAUUAACCAACACUAAUUGCUUCGUUUAAUUUCACCAUCAUCAAUCAAACAUUAACUAAUAAUCACAGAUUCAUACCUGCGUUGCUUUCCAGAUCCUGAUGUGCACAGCAACGAUUGCUCGUCUCCACCACCUACGAGAUGGAUUAACAGGAAUUACUAAAUUCGAUCUAAUAGAAAGAGGACCAACAGAGAGAGAACACUCCACAACACGAACGUACCUCGUCCGUAGGAUCGAUGAGCAGGAAAACGCACUGGUAGAAAAAGGUGCCACGGUCGAUUCCCGUAACGCCGGCUGUGUAUGGUUUAAGGUCGAGACAUGAGGCCUGGAAGCGACGGAGGGCUUCGGAUCGGGUUUGACGAAAACAACUCACCACGGUGAUGUGAGGCUCGAAAUCCGGUGCGUCGAAUUCGGAUCGGAGAGAUGACAUCAGAUCUUUC
rnacentral:lncRNA from 1 species